ACGCUCCGGAGCAGCUCCUCCAUGUCAGGUCCUGAGGAUGGGGACCAGCCCUCAGAUCCUGCUAUCCAGUGUGACUGGUUGUUUCCAGUUCCUGCUGUCAGGACUUCUACCAUGAGGGACUUGAACUGUGUCACAUAUCCCUAAACCACUAUGUGAAGAUGACCUCGGACUUCAGACUCUCCAGCCUCCUCCCGUCAAGUGCUGGGAUCGGGAUCACAGUUAUUCACAGGUUGAGCAUCAUGACUUUAUCAAUGACUUCAACAAAAGUGUGAAGGAACCCCAGCAGUAAUUCCAGACAUUGUCUAGUGUCUUUCCUAAGUCUCCUGACCGUUCCAUUUUCCCAGCUAUGAAACACAGGCCUGGGCUCAGUUUCCCUUUACCAUCCACGGGAGCCUGCUGGAGCACCCACACUCAUUGAGCCACCGGAACAGGCCUCCUCACCAAACUGACUGUGCUGACAAGAAAUAUCUCCGGUUCCAAUUUCCUCAGAACUCUGAAAAACUAAGGGGAGGAUGUUUGGGGAGGUGACAAUCCUGGAGUGAUGGAGAAAAGAUCAUUGAAAGAA